AGCGAACGCUGGCGGCAUGCCUAACACAUGCAAGUCGCACGGGGGGGCUUCGGCCUCCCAGUGGCGGACGGGUGAGGAACGCGUAGGGACCUGUCGAGGGGUGGGGGAUAACCGCGGGAAACUGCGGCUAAUACCGCAUGACGCCGCGGCGUGACAGCCGGGGCCAAAGGCGAAAGCCGCCCGCCGAGGGGCCUGCGUCCGAUUAGCUGGUUGGCGGGGUAGCGGCCCACCAAGGCGUCGAUCGGUAGCUGGUCUGAGAGGGUGAUCAGCCACACCGGGACUGAGACACGGCCCGGACUCCUACGGGAGGCAGCAGUGGGGAAUAUUGGACAAUGGGCGCAAGCCCGAUCCAGCAAUGCCGCGUGGGUGAAGAAGGUCUUCGGAUUGUAAAGCCCUUUCGGCGGGGACGAUGGUGACGGUACCCGCAGAAGAAGCCCCGGCUAACUUCGUG
rnacentral:rRNA from 1 species